GGGUGAGUAAUGUAUAGGAUCUACCUAGUAGUACGGAAUAAUUGUUGGAAACGACAACUAAUACCGUAUACGCCCUACGGGGGAAAAAUUUAUUGCUAUUAGAUGAGCCUAUAUUAGAUUAGCUAGUUGGUGGGGUAAUAGCCUACCAAGGUAAUGAUCUAUAGCUGAUCUGAGAGGAUGAUCAGCCACACUGGAACUGAGAUACGGUCCAGACUCCUACGGGAGGCAGCAGUGGGGAAUAUUGGACAAUGGGCGAAAGCCUGAUCCAGCCAUGCCGCAUGAGUGAAGAAGGCCUUUGGGUUGUAAAGCUCUUUUAGUGAGGAAGAUAAUGACGGUACUCACAGAAGAAGUCCUGGCUAACUCCGUGCCAGCAGCCGCGGUAAUACGGAGAGGGCUAGCGUUAUUCGGAAUUAUUGGGCGUAAAGGGCGCGUAGGCUGGUUAAUAAGUUAAAAGUGAAAUCCCGAGGCUUAACCUUGGAAUUGCUUUUAAAACUAUUAAUCUAGAGAUUGAAAGAGGAUAGGGGAAUUCCUGAUGUAGAGGUAAAAUUCGUAAAUAUUAGGAGGAACACCAGUGGCGAAGGCGUCUAUCUGGUUCAAAUCUGACGCUGAAGCGCGAAGGCGUGGGGAGCAAACAGGAUUAGAUACCCUGGUAGUCCACGCUGUAAACGAUGAAUGUUAAAUAUGGGGAGUUUACUUUCUGUAUUACAGCUAACGCGUUAAACAUUCCGCCUGGGGACUACGGUCGCAAGAUUAAAACUCAAAGGAAUUGACGGGGACCCGCACAAGCGGUGGAGCAUGUGGUUUAAUUCGAUGCAACGCGAAAAACCUUACCACUUCUUGA
rnacentral:rRNA from 1 species